UCUUCUUCUUUUUCUUCUUCUUCUUCUUCUUCAAUUGCUUCGUCUCUCGCGGCCACAAUUGCUCACUGAAUUGGAAAGCACAGAGAAAGUUUUCGAAGGAGACAAUCAUUCGGAGAUGUCUUGGAGAGGAGGCCGAGGAAGAGGACGAGGUGGGUACGGAGGCGGUGGCGCUGACUAUGGCAAAGUUGAGCCUUUUGUGAUUUUCCCUGAAAUUACGUUACCUGAUCCCAAAUCAAUCACAUUAGAGUCAGAAUUACUUAAAAGCAACAACAAGUUCAAUUAUUUUUGGGUAAACUCUCCUUAUCAUUUAGGCGAUGGUGUUUCAACGAAAGAGAAUGAGAGUUUUGACAUUGAGAGGUACUCAGACUCGUUGAAGCCGAAGAUUAGUUCUAAUAAGAAGGGAUCUUUCUAUGAUUUUCUUGUUCUUAGACCUGAUAACUUCCCUAAAGAACUUCUUGGAGAUACUCGAAGAGAACGGCCUGUGAAGAGAGUUAAAUGGAGUCAAGAAGCAGAUUUGCAGAAACUGGAUGUGUUUGAAAAGCUUGAAGCUAAGUUUAAGGCUGAAGGCAAGGAAGAGAAAGAAGAAGGAGAAGAUGAUGAAGAAGGAGAAGUAUCAGAGGGAGAAGACUCUGAUAACGGAGAUUAUGAACAGAAUCGAGACUUUGAUGAUGAUGAUGACGAUUAUAAUCAGGUGGAUGAUAAUGAAUUUGAAGAUGUUUAUUAAGCUCCCUCUGUUUCCGAAAAGAAUAAAGUUUUGCAGACAAGAGAAGCCAAGCCUGUCCCAAGCUUUAGUUUUAGCUGCACCUAGGUUCUGUCGUCCAAGAGUCGCUUGUUCUUUUUCCAGACUUGAUUACAGGGGAGAGGAUUCUUCUACCAUGGUCAUCACACCUAAACCAGGUUACUUUUAAUUACUUGAAGCGAAAUUUCUUGAACAAAGGAAAAUGGAUUUUUAGAGUGAAGAAUCUGUUUUUAAUAGUCAAAUCUUUUGUUAUAGUAUAAACAGAUUUUUCACUUCUUGACCUAUCGUCAUAUUUGUGCCACUUUAAUAUACUUAUACCAAGCGAGUUGAUGAGCUGAGUAUAAAUAAAACUUGAUGAGUUUAGGUAUAUGUUUGUUAAAGUCUUGAUGGCAUACCGGAAGAUGACUUUUGAGGUGGUAUCAGGUAAGGUCAAAGUAUACACAUUAAUAUGACAUGUCUAAAAGCCUGAUUAUCAAAGCUGGUUUCAUUUGCCAAUAGCUCAACAUACUAUCUCCUCCUCUAUGCUGGCUGACCUCUUUAUUAAUUGAAUAAGAGUUGCAUACAGUCAUGACCUUACAUAAGGUGGAUCUUUAGAUCUGAGUUUCCUCUUAAAUAUCAAGUGUAUUUAGCUAUUACAUUUGUUUUCCAUGGAUGCAGAGAAAAAUAGAGGUUGAGGCAUAGUGAUGUUGAAAACCGCCAUGAUUGCCUUUGAAGGUAUUUCUCUGGUCACUCUCUUUUGUGCAGUUAUGUUGCUAUAGAAAGACCUGAGCUCAAGAUCCUUCACCGCAAGUGUUUGAUGUUUUGUUAUCAUCGAAGUUUCCAAAGGAAUUGAUAUACGACGCUGCCAUGAGACACAUUUGGCUUGAUAAUAUUGCUGCAACUUACGAUAAUGCUGGAGUUUAUAGUCAGACUGAACAGUAAGUCCAGUGAGGAAGGGUAUAUUGGAUCUAUGAGAUGAUGUAAUAUCCUGUGAUCCCACAUCUCUCCCAACAUGUAAUCAUGGCUACUAAACAUGUGUUUGUAAUUACAUCAUAUAUACUUUUGCUGCAGAUAUUGUAGAUACUGCAACAUUCUCCCAUCUGAAAGAGUACCCUUGUUCGUAAAUUAUUUAGCUAAUUGAAGUGAAAGCUUUGGCAAAGAAUAUGAUUUAGUUUCUGAUC